rnacentral:sRNA from 1 species
GCAGCUCUGGCAGGGUGUCACUCCAAUUCUACUCCAUAGGCUUGAUGUCUGAGGUCCCUUCUCUAACCUGGCUAAAUCACACCACCCUAUGGUUCACUGAGGCUGUUUCGCUGCAGGGAUCUCAGUGUGGAUGCUGGCUUGAGUCCUGCUCAGUUCCAGGUGCGGCCCAUCCCUCAGCACUAUCAGCAUUACCUAGCCACUCCUCGAAUGCACCACUUUCCCAGAAACUCCUCCUCCACACAGAUGGUCGUCCAUGAAAUCCGAAACUACCCUUACCCUCAGCUUCACUUCCUUGCUCUCCAGGGACUAAAUCCCAGCAGACACACCUCCGCCGUACGGGAGAGCUAUGAGGAGCUGCUGCAGCUCGAGGACAGGUUGGGUAAUGUGACUCGGGGAGCUGUACAGAACACCAUUGAGAGGUUCACCUUCCCCCACAAGUAUAAGAAGCGAAGACCCCAGGAUGGCAAGGGCAAGAAGGAUGAGGGAGAGGAGUCAGACACAGAUGAGAAAUGCACAAUUUGUCUGUCUAUGCUGGAAGAUG